rnacentral:rRNA from 1 species
CCUACGGGAGGCAGCAGUGGGGAAUUUUGGACAAUGGGCGAAAGCCUGAUCCAGCAAUGCCGCGUGAGUGAAGAAGGCCUUCGGGUUGUAAAGCUCUUUUGUCAGGGAAGAAACGGUGAGAGCUAAUAUCUCUUGCUAAUGACGGUACCUGAAGAAUAAGCGCCGGCUAACUACGUGCCAGCAGCCGCGGUAAUACGUAGGGUGCAAGCGUUAAUCGGAAUUACUGGGCGUAAAGCGUGCGCAGGCGGUUUUGUAAGUCUGAUGUGAAAUCCCCGGGCUCAACCUGGGAAUUGCAUUGGAGACUGCAAGGCUAGAAUCUGGCAGAGGGGGGUAGAAUUCCACGUGUAGCAGUGAAAUGCGUAGAUAUGUGGAGGAACACCGAUGGCGAAGGCAGCCCCCUGGGUCAAGAUUGACGCUCAUGCACGAAAGCGUGGGGAGCAAACAGGAUUAGAUACCCUGGUAGUCCACGCCCUAAACGAUGUCUACUAGUUGUCGGGUCUUAAUUGACUUGGUAACGCAGCUAACGCGUGAAGUAGACCGCCUGGGGAUACGGUCGCAAGAUUAAAACUUAAUGAAUUGAGG